rnacentral:misc_RNA from 1 species
GCAAACUUGGUCAUUUAGAGGAAGUAAAAGUCGUAACAAGGUUUCCGUAGGUGAACCUGCGGAAGGAUCAUUAUUGAAAAUUUUGGAAGUAGUAUUGUUGCUGGCCUUAUAAACAUGAGGUAUGUGCACAUACUAUUUCUAAUCUAUUCAUCCACCUGUGCAUUUAUUGUAGGAGGUCUUGAAAGGGUUAACUUGUCUUGUACAAAGUUGACUUGGAAAGGGCUUUCUAUGUUUUCACAAACCUAUUGAAGUAUGUUUUAGAAUGUUCUUUAUUGGGACUUUAUUGGCCCUUUAAACUUAUACAACUUUUAGCAACGGAUCUCUUGGCUCUCCCAUCGAUGAAGAACGCAGC